CUGGACAAAAGUGGUAAGUGGUGUCCCUCAGGGUUCUGUUUUGGGACCGCUUCUAUUUAACAUGUCUAUAAAGGAUCUUGAAAUAGGCAUUGAAAGCCAUGUUUCAGUGUUUGCAGAUGACACAAAACUUUGUAAAGUAAUAAAAUGUGAGCAGGUUAUUGCUUUGCUGCAUAGGGAUUUACAUUGGGGGACUGGGCACUAAAAUGGCAGAUGAAAUUUAAUGUAGAGAAAUGUAAAGUUAUGCACUUCGGGGUAAGGAAUGCACAAGCAACUUACACCCUAAAUGGUAGUGAAUUAGGGAUGACAAUACACGAGAAGGAUUUAGAAAUUGUUAUAGACAACAAAUUAG